rnacentral:rRNA from 1 species
UGGGGAAUCUUGCGCAAUGGGCGAAAGCCUGACGCAGCAACGCCGCGUGUGUGAUGAAGGUCUUCGGAUCGUAAAGCACUGUCGCGAGGGAAGAUACGCCACGCGCUAACAUCGCGGGGCUAAGACGGUACCUCGAGAGGAAGCACCGGCUAACUCUGUGCCAGCAGCCGCGGUAAUACAGAGGGUGCGAGCGUUGUUCGGAAUUAUUGGGCGUAAAGCGCUUGUAGGCGGCCUGUCAAGUCGCGUGUGAAAUCCCCUGGCUUAACCAGGGAAGUGCGCGCGAAACUGGCGGGCUUGAGUGCCGGAGAGGGUCGCGGAAUUCCCGGUGUAGAGGUGAAAUUCGUAGAUAUCGGGAGGAACACCAGUGGCGAAGGCGGCGACCUGGACGGACACUGACGCUGAGACGCGAAAGCGUGGGGAGCAAACAG